CUUACCAACACUUACAUGUAUUCACCCUAAUUAGCUCAUGUGAAAAGGAUCUUCCUGUAUUUCUAACAAGUAUAAUUUGGAGAGUAGAUAGAUCUCAGGGAAGGAUUUUGGAGCAUGCCAAAUGAAUUACUGGACUCAGUCCAUUCUCUAACUUAACAUCACUCGCUUACUUAGCAGUACGUGAUGUUGGUGAGAAGAACCAGCAGAGGACACAGGAAGUAGAAGAAGAGCUCACAUCUGUCCACGAUUUAUAUUGCAUUUCAGUUUAUGUGGUCAUUGGAGACUCAGUUUGUGAAGGGGAUGAGAUGGACAGAGUUUAAAUUUCUCUUUCAAAAAAUGAUGCCUUCGAGG
rnacentral:lncRNA from 1 species